CUCUCUCCGUCGCAUACCCCACUGGACAACUGCACAACACACGGUGCGGUGCAGUGCAGUGCAAUGCAAUGCAACCGCAACCACCAUCACACAGGAAGACAAAAGAUCAUCAUCGAAGGAACUAGACGGCAAGGUCAUGCAGCCGGAUUGCAUGCAUGCGUUGAACGAGCGCUUGCAGUGCGCGAUGGCGCUCUGGAUGCCGUCCUGCACCUGCAGCAGCGAGUCGUCCCGCCGCUGCGGCUGCGGGCCACUCAGAGCCGCCGCCGCGGGAGAGGGCGCCACCGCAACCGCGGACGACGCCGACCGGCUCUUCCCCAGCCGCUUGCACGCCUGCUUCAGCCCCGCGGGCACGCUGGCGCGUGGCGCGCGCACGCCGCACGCCACCACCCCCGCCGGCACGGACGGUGGAGGAGCCUGCGACGGGGACGGGUCCGCCUCCGCGUCCGUCUCCUCCUCUCCCUCGCUCGCCGCGCCGCCGAAGCGGAGCCGCUCGCCGUACCGCCGGGACACCUUCACGUACAGCGGCCUGAUCUUGCUCAGGUACCGCAGGACCACCUCCUUGGCGAACCGCCGCUCCUCCGCGGUGAUCGACGCCGCCACCUCCUGCUCCUGCUGCUGGGGCUCCGCCGCCGCCGCCGCUGCCGUAGCCGGCCGGUCCGCGACGGCGUCCGAGGCGCGCGAGCUGUUGUCGCGCGUGAACAGUGACGCCAGCGGCGUCGCGUCGUCCACCCGGAGCUUUACCAGGAACCGGCUCGCCACCGGCGCGGCGCUGGUGCCGGCCGCGUCCGCCGCCGCCAGGCCGCCCUUGGGCUUCCGUAGCUUGAGCAGCAGCACGCGAAACCUGGUGGCCGGACGGGGCAGCGACGGCGGCGGCGCGGCCUCAGGCUCCGCCUCUGCCGCCGGCGCGACGGCGGCCACGGGCGCCACGACGCCUUCGUCACCCGCGGCGAAGCUGAGCUCGACCCGCUCCUCCUCGACGUCGGACGUGGCGCUCUCGUCGCCGGGCACCGCGAACUCCAGGUCGAAGAAGGAGGAGGCGUCGUCGCCGUACUCGCACGCCGACGCGGCGAUGGUCGUGGCGGCCGCGGGCGCGCGAUGGGCGCCGGUGAGCACGCCGCCGCGCAGGUACUUGAGGAAGCUGAAGGAGUCCAUGGCGCGAGGAACAGCGGCACGAGUGGGAGCUCCCUCUCGCUCCUCUGCAGCGGUCGAAAAGAGACACUACCUACUUUUUUUACAGAGACUUUUGAGGAGAGGAAGGAGAGGGCAGAGAAAUGAGGAGUGAGGACCGGCUGGAGAUAUGGAGGAGGAGGAGGACAAGCUCCUGCUGCUGGUGCAGCCAUCAAUGCCAAGUAGACGAGCAGCAGUGCGGGCGUGGGGUUGGACGGGGAGGGCGGCGUCGGCUGUCGACACUCGACAGGGCCCGUGCACUGCUCAGAGGGACUCUCGUGAUCUCCAUCUCCUCCACUCCAGCCAUCCGCGUCACACGCACUACUCAGACUAGCCGCAGCGGUAGACGCUGCCUCUCCCCCUCCCCUUGCAUGCGGCGCGUAGGGGGCACCCUAUGGCCGCAGCGGUGCCCCUACAGCGCCUCCUACAUGUCGGUCCUCUUCUCUCCCCCCAGAUUUAGCG
rnacentral:misc_RNA from 1 species